UACGUAGGGACCAAGCGUUGUUCGGAUUUACUGGGCGUAAAGAGCGCGCAGGCGGUCGUUCAAGUCGCGUGUGAAAGCCCCCGGCUCAACUGGGGAGGGUCACGCGAUACUGAUCGACUCGAAGGCAGGAGAGGGAAGUGGAAUUCCCGGUGUAGUGGUGAAAUGCGUAGAUAUCGGGAGGAACACCAAUGGCGAAGGCAGCUCGCUGGGACGGUACUGACGCUGAGGCGCGAAAGCGUGGGGAGCAAACAGG
rnacentral:rRNA from 1 species